GAUGAACGCUGGCGGCGUGCCUAAUACAUGCAAGUCGAGCGAACGGACGAGAAGCUUGCUUCUCUGAUGUUAGCGGCGGACGGGUGAGUAACACGUGGAUAACCUCCCUAUAAGACUGGGAUAACUUCGGGAAACCGGAGCUAAUACCGGAUAAUAUUUUGAACCGCAUGCUUCAAAAGUGAAAGACGGUCUUGCUGUCACUUAUAGAUGGAUCCUCGCUGCAUUAGCUAGUUGGUAAGGUAACGGCUUACCAAGGCAACGAUGCAUAGCCGACCUGAGAGGGUGAUCGGCCACACUGGAAGUGAGACACGGUCCAGACUCCUACGGGAGGCAGCAGUAGGGAAUCUUCCGCAAUGGGCGAAAGCCUGACGGAGCAACGCCGCGUGAGUGAUGAAGGUCUGCGGAUCGUAGAACGCUGUUAGUAGGGAAGAACAUAUGUGUAAGUAACUGUGCACAUCUUGACGGUACCUAAUCAGAAAGCCACGGCUAACUACGUG
rnacentral:rRNA from 1 species